rnacentral:rRNA from 1 species
UACGGGGGGGGCAAGCGUUGUUCGGAAUUACUGGGCGUAAAGGGCGCGUAGGCGGUUUGCUAAGUUGAAUGUGAAAACUCUGGGCUUAACCCAGAGCCUGCAUUCAAUACGGGCAGACUAGAGUGUGGUAGGGGAGACUGGAAUUCCUGGUGUAGCGGUGAAAUGCGCAGAUAUCAGGAGGAACACCGAUGGCGAAGGCAGGUCUCUGGGCCAUAACUGACGCUGAGAAGCGAAAGCAUGGGGAGCGAACAGG